rnacentral:rRNA from 1 species
AGAGUUUGAUUAUGGCUCAGGAUGAACGCUGGCGGCGUGCUUAACACAUGCAAGUCGAACGGAGUUAGAUGAAACCUAGUGAUUCUAAACUUAGUGGCGGACGGGUGAGUAACGCGUGGGUAACCUGCCAUAUACAGGGGGAUAACACUUAGAAAUAGGUGCUAAUACCGCAUAAGCGCACAGGACCGCAUGGUCUGGUGUGAAAAACUCCGGUGGUAUAUGAUGGACCCGCGUCUGAUUAGCUAGUUGGUGAGGUAACGGCCCACCAAGGCGACGAUCAGUAGCCGGCCUGAGAGGGUGAACGGCCACAUUGGGACUGAGACACGGCCCAAACUCCUACGGGAGGCAGCAGUGGGGAAUAUUGCACAAUGGGGGAAACCCUGAUGCAGCGACGCCGCGUGAGUGAAGAAGUAUUUCGGUAUGUAAAGCUCUAUCAGCAGGAAAGAAAAUGACGGUACCUGACUAAGAAGCCCCGGCUAACUACGUGCCAGCCGCCGC